UAAGCGACUAAGCGUACACGGUGGAUGCCUAGGCAGUCAGAGGCGAUGAAGGGCGUGCUAAUCUGCGAAAAGCGUCGGUAAGCUGAUAUGAAGCGUUAUAACCGACGAUACCCGAAUGGGGAAACCCAGUGCAAUACGUUGCACUAUCGUUAGAUGAAUACAUAGUCUAACGAGGCGAACCGGGGGAACUGAAACAUCUAAGUACCCCGAGGAAAAGAAAUCAACCGAGAUUCCCCCAGUAGCGGCGAGCGAACGGGGAGGAGCCCAGAGUCUGAAUCAGUUUGUGUGUUAGUGGAAGCGUCUGGAAAGUCGCACGGUACAGGGUGAUAGUCCCGUACACCAAAAUGCACAGGCUGUGAACUCGAUGAGUAGGGCGGGACACGUGACAUCCUGUCUGAAUAUGGGGGGACCAUCCUCCAAGGCUAAAUACUCCUGACUGACCGAUAGUGAACCAGUACCGUGAGGGAAAGGCGAAAAGAACCCCGGCGAGGGGAGUGAAAUAGAACCUGAAACCGUGUACGUACAAGCAGUGGGAGCACCUUCGUGGUGUGACUGCGUACCUUUUGUAUAAUGGGUCAGCGACUUAUAUUUUGUAGCAAGGUUAACCGAAUAGGGGAGCCGUAGGGAAACCGAGUCUUAACUGGGCGUCUAGUUGCAAGGUAUAGACCCGAAACCCGGUGAUCUAGCCAUGGGCAGGUUGAAGGUUGGGUAACACUAACUGGAGGACCGAACCGACUAAUGUUGAAAAAUUAGCGGAUGACUUGUGGCUGGGGGUGAAAGGCCAAUCAAACCGGGAGAUAGCUGGUUCUCCCCGAAAGCUAUUUAGGUAGCGCCUCGUGAACUCAUCUUCGGGGGUAGAGCACUGUUUCGGCUAGGGGGCCAUCCCGGCUUACCAAACCGAUGCAAACUCCGAAUACCGAAGAAUGUUAUCACGGGAGACACACGGCGGGUGCUAACGUCCGUCGUGAAGAGGGAAACAACCCAGACCGCCAGCUAAGGUCCCAAAGUCAUGGUUAAGUGGGAAACGAUGUGGGAAGGCACAGACAGCCAGGAUGUUGGCUUAGAAGCAGCCAUCAUUUAAAGAAAGCGUAAUAGCUCACUGGUCGAGUCGGCCUGCGCGGAAGAUGUAACGGGGCUAAACCAUGCACCGAAGCUGCGGCAGCGACACUUAGGUGUUGUUGGGUAGGGGAGCGUUCUGUAAGCCGUUGAAGGUGACCUGUGAGGGUUGCUGGAGGUAUCAGAAGUGCGAAUGCUGACAUAAGUAACGAUAAUGCGGGUGAAAAACCCGCACGCCGGAAGACCAAGGGUUCCUGUCCAACGUUAAUCGGGGCAGGGUGAGUCGACCCCUAAGGCGAGGCUGAAAAGCGUAGUCGAUGGGAAACAGGUUAAUAUUCCUGUACUUGGUGUUACUGCGAAGGGGGGACGGAGAAGGCUAGGCUGGCCGGGCGACGGUUGUCCCGGUUUAAGCGUGUAGGGGGAGUGACCAGGUAAAUCCGGUUGCUUAUCAACCCUGAGGCGUGAUGACGAUGCACCACGGUGCAGAAGCAGUUGAUGCCAUGCUUCCAGGAAAAGCCUCUAAGCAUCAGGUAACAUUAAAUCGUACCCCAAACCGACACAGGUGGUCAGGUAGAGAAUACUCAGGCGCUUGAGAGAACUCGGGUGAAGGAACUAGGCAAAAUGGUGCCGUAACUUCGGGAGAAGGCACGCUGGCGUUAGGUGAAAGGACUAGCUCCUGGAGCUGAAGCCAGUCGCAGAUACCAGCUGGCUGCAACUGUUUAAUAAAAACACAGCACUGUGCAAACACGAAAGUGGACGUAUACGGUGUGACGCCUGCCCGGUGCUGGAAGGUUAAUUGAUGGGGUCAGCCGCAAGGCGAAGCUCUUGAUCGAAGCCCCAGUAAACGGCGGCCGUAACUAUAACGGUCCUAAGGUAGCGAAAUUCCUUGUCGGGUAAGUUCCGACCUGCACGAAUGGCGUAAUGAUGGCCAGGCUGUCUCCACCCGAGACUCAGUGAAAUUGAACUCGCUGUGAAGAUGCAGUGUACCCGCGGCAAGACGGAAAGACCCCGUGAACCUUUACUAUAGCUUGACACUGAACAUUGAGCCUUGAUGUGUAGGAUAGGUGGGAGGCCUUGAAGUGUGGACGCCAGUCUGCAUGGAGCCAACCUUGAAAUACCACCCUUUAAUGUUUGAUGUUCUAACUCGGCCCCAUGAUCUGGGGUGAGGACAGUGUCUGGUGGGUAGUUUGACUGGGGCGGUCUCCUCCCAAAGAGUAACGGAGGAGCACGAAGGUUAGCUAAUCACGGUCGGACAUCGUGAGGUUAGUGCAAAGGCAUAAGCUAGCUUGACUGCGAGAGUGACGGCUCGAGCAGGUACGAAAGUAGGUCUUAGUGAUCCGGUGGUUCUGAAUGGAAGGGCCAUCGCUCAACGGAUAAAAGGUACUCCGGGGAUAACAGGCUGAUACCGCCCAAGAGUUCAUAUCGACGGCGGUGUUUGGCACCUCGAUGUCGGCUCAUCACAUCCUGGGGCUGAAGUAGGUCCCAAGGGUAUGGCUGUUCGCCAUCUAAAGUGGUACGCGAGCUGGGUUUAGAACGUCGUGAGACAGUUCGGUCCCUAUCUGCCGUGGGCGUUGGAAGAUUGAGAGGGGCUGCUCCUAGUACGAGAGGACCGGAGUGGACGAAUCACUGGUGUUCGGGUUGUCAUGCCAAUGGCAUUGCCCGGUAGCUAAAUUCGGAAGAGAUAACCGCUGAAAGCAUCUAAGCGGGAAACUUGCCUCGAGAUGAGUCUUCCCUGGGGCUUAAAGCCCCCUGAAGGAACGUUAAAGACUAUGACGUUGAUAGGCUGGGUGUGUAAGUGCAGCGAUGUAUUGAGCUAACCAGUACUAAUGAUCCGUGAGGCUUAACCU
rnacentral:rRNA from 1 species